CCUACGGGAGGCAGCAGUGAGGAAUAUUGGUCAAUGGACGAGAGUCUGAACCAGCCAAGUCGCGUGAAGGAUGACUGCCCUAUGGGUUGUAAACUUCUUUUAUAUGGGAACAAAACAGGGUAUGCAUACCCUCUUGCAUGUACCAUAUGAAUAAGCCUCGGCUAACUCCGUUCCAGCAGCCGCGGUAAUACGGCGGAUCCGAUCGUUCUCCGGAUUUAUUGGGUUUAAAGGGUGCGUAGGUGGAUUGUUAAGUCAGGUGUCAAAGUUUGGGGCUCAAACGUCAAAUUGCAGUUGAAACUGGCAGUCUUGAGUAGAGUAGAGGUAGGCGGAAUGCGGGGUGUAGCGGUGAAAUGCUUAGAUAUCGCGAAGAACUCCGAUUGCGAAGGCAGCAUACUGGCCUGAAACUGACGCUGAGGCACGAAAGUGUGGGUAUCGAACAGGAUUAGAUACCCCUGUAGUC
rnacentral:rRNA from 1 species